rnacentral:rRNA from 18 species
ACUCUAACAGGACUGCCUACGCAAGUAGAGAGGAAGGUGGGGACGACGUCAAGUCAUCAUGGCCCUUACGAGUAGGGCUACACACGUGCUACAAUGGCAUUUACAGAGGGAAGCGAGACAGUGAUGUGGAGCGGACCCCUUAAAGAAUGUCGUAGUCCGGAUUGGAGUCUGCAACUCGACUCCAUGAAGCAAUCGCUAGUAAUCGCGCAUCAGCAAUGGCGCGGUGAAUACGUUCCCGGGCCUUGUACACACCGCCCGUCAAGCCAUGGAAGCUGAGGGUACCUGAAGUCGGUAACCGCAAGGAGCUGCCUAGGGUAAAACCAGUAACUGGGGCUAAGUCGAAACAAGGUAGCCGUACCGGAAGGUGCGGCUGGAACACCUC